ensembl:snRNA U6 U6 spliceosomal RNA
GGGUUCAUUUCUGCAACACACCUGUCAGAAUUGGAACAGUGAGAGAAGAUAAGCAUGGCUCCCCCAUGAGAUGACAUGUCAAACUGUGAAGCAUUCCAUGUUUUU